rnacentral:lncRNA from 1 species
GGGAAAGGUAUCUGAAGCAGGGGGAACAGCAUGAGCAAAGGCCUGGAGGUGCAGAGGACAGAGUAUAACCCAGAAAUGGAAACAAGUUCAGUAGGUUGGGGUGUGACUCUAGGUGAGGUUGGGAAAGCCAACAGAGUGCAAGCUGGGGGGCCUGGGUCGCCCCAGGGAGGACCUUGGCUUGCACUUGGGUGAGGGGAAUGGGGAGCCCUGGGAGGUUUUGAGCAGGAGGUGAUGAAGUCCACUUCACAGGAGGCCAGGCUGCUGGCAUCACAGGCUUCCAGAAGCUCCCGAUCUAUUACCCCAUCUCUGACCCAGGCUGCAAGGAGGCCGGCCUAGAUCCCUGGUGGUCCUUUCUUUUUUCCAAACCAUCUCAAGAUUGGAAAAAUGCCACCACAUCCCUUGGGAAUAUUGCCCAGUGUCUUCCAACACAAUCGGAAAGUUCUCCCCCAUAUCUAACCUAAAUCUCCACUGCUACAGUUUCCUACCUCGCUCCCCAGACAUGAUGGUGUCAGUGCCAGGAUUCCAGGGACCCCAUUGCCCUGGGAAAGCUUUGCUCCUCCAGCUCUCCCACGUUCCUGCUCGGUGAGGCCCCUGCCUCCCACAUCCCCUGCACCUGGCGGCAGAGUCCAGGCUCCAUCCUUUUGCCCACACUGGGGCCUCUGCCUGGAAUAACAUUCUCUUUGAGACCACAUCUGUCCAGCGUCCAGUCCUGCAUUUUGCUUGUGGCUGGCACCUGCCAUGGGCUCCAGAGCCCUCGUACGGAUGGACCCCCCCCCGCCCCCGCCGAGCAGGUCUGUGCAGCCCCCACAGCUUUCUUUUCUGACACAUCCUGCCCCCAUGGGUCCCAUGGGUGCUGUGCGUAGGUGAGCAUCAAAAACAGAAAAGCCAGACCUGGGCUCAAACCCCAGCUAUAGCUAUGCCACCCACUGGCUCUGGGCCUCCGUGAGGACAUCUGUAAAAUGGAAAUUCACAAAAGGACCAAGGAGACAAUGCGCUGCCAGCACGUCAUGUCAGAUGAACACUGGAAAGCACUGUUGUCCCUGUGCCAUGGCCGACCCAGACCCCAGCCUGGAGACCCGGCUGCUGGGGCAGGUGAGGGGAGGAGCAGCUCCUAGCCUGCCUGGGGUGAGUGGGGGUGGCUAGCGAGUUUACUGAGCACCCGCUGUGUGCUGAGCCCCCGUGCCAGGGACUGUCCCACAUUAGAGUCGGUGAACAGCGGCCAGUGUGUGGCUUGGCACCAUUUAUGAGAGCUCGUGAUUAGGCCAGCCGAGAGCCCAAUGCCUCAUGUAAGUUCCCUUCUUAGAUCUACACAACCCCUCAGGCCUAGGAGCUACUGCGAACCUAAUUCCAUAGAUGAGGAAACUGAGGCUCAGAGAGGGAACAAGACAAGCCCAGGGACCCAGCUCGGAAGCGGCAGAGCCAGGCUGAGAGCUCCGUGCCAGCCCUUCUCAGGCGCGUGGUCAGGCAGCCGGCGCUCCAGGGGUUUGCGGCAGCCCCACGGAGAGCACCCCCUCUGCCCUCACAGUCCCUACCUGGGCUCUGCUGCUGCCAGCCUGGACCAGCUCGCCAGAGUCGAUGGUUAAAUUUUCAGGAAUGUUGGUAGCUUGAAAUCGACCACGAUAGGAUUAUGAACGUCGUGGAAAUUGGCAAGUGCUACAAAUUAGAUUUGUUAUUUUUUUUUUUCCUGCUGGUUGUUGAACUUUUAUCAGCACGCCACUGCCCCCACCACUAUCAGCACAUGCUCUGGGUGGCACUGGAACCUUCUCAAACUGCCUAACACGCCCCUCCCGCCACCAGGCUGGGCAAGGGGAGGAGGAGGGAGCAGGCAGGGAGAUGCCCAAGGUCAGCGGUUGGGACGAGGGCUCUGGAGCCAGCCCCGGGUGUCGGGGACCGGAAGCCCUCCCUCCACCUCGCCACCGCCCUCCCUCCCACGCCUUCUGGGUCAUUCCUCCGGCCUCCCCCAGGUCCUCCACUUCAGGAUUAGAGAGAAAGACAAUUGCUAACUAGUUCCGCCCCAUGCAGUUCGCUACAACAAACCCACUGUCCUCCCGUCCAGCAUUAGGCAGGAGGGCCGAGGAGGAGAACGAAGGUUGGAUACAAUAAGCCAGCACCUGGCUGUGGACUGACUGCUCACAACAGGUCUGUGAGGUUCAGUGACCCCGCUUCUCAUGAGGAAAGAGGCUUGAAGAGGUGAAGAGCCUGGCUCAGGGACCUGCUUCUUCAAUGUAAGGUCUAGCUGCCACAUGAGAUUGGCCUCCUGGCUAAACCUUCCUUUUCCGGCCCAGGUGUCACCUCCCCCAGGAAGCCUUCCCGGACCUCCCCCAGUCCCAGUUCCCUCUAGUUACAGUGGACUGUGAAUGGUGACUUGUCUGCCCCUGCUGCUAGACAGACAGUUCCCUGGAGGCAGGGCCAGGGCUGUCCUCUGGGGCCUGAAAGAGUCACGGCACAUCGUUAUGGGGCCAGAGGAUGAGGAUUAAAAGACUGGGGCUGCUUCCCCACUUCAGCAGGCUGUAUAGGGUAAGAAUGAGAACUCCCACUCUGUGCUCGACUCCAAGGCAGCGGUGGACAAGAGUCUUCUGUAAAGGGCCAGAUAGUAAAUUUUUUUGGCUUUGCAGGCUAUAUAAUCUUUGUCACAACUACUCAACUCUACCAUUUUGACCGAAAGCAGCCACAGAAAAUAUGCAAAUGAAUGAGCCUGGUGAAGUCCCAAUAGAACAUUAUUGUAAAAAGCAGCAGGUAUUGAGGGAUGACCCCUGGGGAGUCAGCACUCUGCCUGCUACCUGCUCUAAAGGCUUCAAAUCUCAUUUAAUUCUCCCAACUCUAUAAGGAGGCAAACAUUAUUAUUAUCCUUCCCAUUUUGCAGAUAAAGAAACUGAGGUGCAGAGAGGAGGAGAGAUGACUCAUCCAAGGUCACACAGGUAGGAACCGCGAGAGCUGGGAUUUGAACCUGGGCAUGAUGGGCUCCAAAGCCUGGCUACUUCAUGCUAGGCUGCACCUGCUUCCCCAGCAGCCCUCCUCUCCCAGGGGGAAGGAAGGGAGCCCCAGAAUGCAAGCCAGUUCCUGAAGGGACCUGCCAAGCUAGAAAUGUAGUACUCGGGGUGGCAGAGAAAAAUCGAGCCCAUCCCCUGCAAGCUUCAGGGUGUGGGAGCCCAGGUCUCUGUGGGCCCCUUUGGAUGAGCAUCAAUCCCAGCAGCGCCCCCUCCUGGCUGAUCCCUGGUGGGACCCAUCCUUUGUAGCUGACCCCUGUGAUCUCACCCAGCUGGCUGCAAAACAACCCCCCUCCGGUGGACUGGGGAUGAGACGGCCAGGCUGAGACCCCUGGAACCCUGGGAGCCUUCAGAAGGCUCUCGACAAGCCCCAGUGAAUGUUUGCCUCCUUCGACCAAGAGUGACAGCCUAAAUGUUUAAUUGUGGAUACAACAGAGCACUCGGAACCACUCAGAACAGCGGCUGGGCAUCUUGGAGACCCCAUUCUUCCCCCAGACCGCCCCAUGCCGAGGACAUUACCCUUUAGCUGCUGGACUGUGGGCAGGCCGGGUGAUCCUGGGCAGCCGGUACUCUGCACGGCAUUAGCGACAGGCCGGGGACCUCGCUGGGCCCCUGGGCAGAGGAUAGAGGCACAGAAGUCAUGCAGGUACCAAAUCUUCGGUGGCAGACAGGACUGUCUCUCCCCUGUGGGUCCCUCGCUGCCUCUCUCUGGCCUGGCACCUGGGCAGCCCCUGAGGCUUGGCUCCAGCGGGUGAGCACAGGGAGGCAGGCCAGCUGAAGGGGCGCCUCACCCGUCAGCUGCUCCCCAGACACUGAAGGGACAUCCUGGACCUCGUCCCUCAAGGUGCGGCCGGAGGAGCCUGAGCCGCACCACUAAAUCUGUCCUGCUCACUGCUGCCCAAAGCUGCCCGCCAGCCACAGAAAACCUGCAAUUUCACCUCAUUUGGAGGUGAUGUUUCUAAAUUUAACGGCGUGCGCUCUCAGGGCUGGGCAGCUUUUAUGCCUGAGUCCCUCACUUAGGGCUCUUUUAUAUCCACUCAAAUGCCAGCCAGGGAUUAGUUUGCUUAUAGGAGUUUCCAAAAUAGCCCUUUGGUUUAGCAUGAAAGGAAAUGGCCAAAUAGCCCAGGAUGAGGAUGUGAGUUUACACGGAAGAGGGCUGGGCGUCCCGAGGAGGCUGCUGCGGGAACCAGACUGUCUGCAGCAGAGUCCAAGUCCCUCAUUUUACCGAGGGCCAGACCCGCCCGGAGCGGCCUGCCCAGGUCACCCAGAGCUGAAUGGAAGAGCCAGAAGGAUCCAACCACCCCAGCUCCCUGCUCCUCAGGUGGAGUCCCCCUCCAGGCCUUUGCCCUGGCUGUGCCCUUGACCUGCAUGCCCUACCCCUGGGUCUUCCAUGGCACUCAGGCCUGGACUCCAAGGUCACCUCCUCAGAGAGGCCCUCCCUGCCUGCCCUGGCUACGGUGGCCUCACCACUCACCCUGUUUCAAAUCCUUCAGAGAACGUCUCCCCGCCCCAGACUGUCUUAUCAGUUUGCUUGGUGAUCGUGUGUCCCUCACAAGAGUCUCAGCUCCAUGGGGUGGGGACUUCUGUCCUGUUCACAGCUGUGUGCCCACAGCCCCACCAAGCUGGGGGCCCCAGCAAGUGUUGGUUGAAAAAAUGAGUGAUUGAAGAACUGUGUCUGGAGUUCCCUCACAUGAUUUGCUCACACAACACACAUCUAUUGAGUGGCUACUGAAUACAAGCACGGGCCAUGCAGCCGUGAACUAGUCUGGUGGGGAACAAUUAGGACGCAAGGUGACGAGACUGUGCUGCUGUAGGGAACUAGCCGAGGCACAGGGAGCAGGCAAGGACCCCACACCCAGCCCAAGGGAAGAGACCUCUGGGGGAAGAGCUAUCAUAUGUUGAAAUCUGGAGGAGGAAUUGGCUAGGCAGAGAGCGAGGGUGGGAUGGAAGAGUGUGCCAGGUAUUAGGAACAGCAUAUGCAAUGGCUCAGAGGCAAGAGAGGAUCAAUUAGAGGAACAGCAAAAAGUUCAGUCGGUCUAGCUGGAGCAUCAGGUUACAAAAGAGGAUCCUUGAAAGGUGAGUUGGGGACCAGGCCCUACGGGGGUGUUUAAAUCGCAUCCAAGGAGUAGACAGGGCAGGCCUCCAGUCCUCUGGAUGUUGACAAUGGCACCCCUUUGAGUUCAUUCUCUCUUUCAAUAAACCCCACUGCCCUUUCGCCCAAGAAUGCUGUGUCCCAGUAAACAGUGAAUGAGUGCCUACUGCAUGCAGGGCCCCCACCGUUUAUGGGGAAAGCCACACAGGCUGUGUGGCCUCUGCCAGCUUGAGCUGGGUUUUGCCCUCUGCACACCGUCCGUGCUCCACCCCUCCCCUGCUUCCCCCCAAAAAAGGCCCAGCUAUUUGAAGGCACCCAGAGAGGGAAAAUCCUGCAGCUGGUCUGCCCAGGACAAAGGCCACACGGGCUCCCAUGCCUGCCAGCUUGGGCCCCUGUCUCUGUUGUCCCCUGGGCCGUGCUGGGUGACUCUCCAGAGCCAAGAUGUUUGGGGCCAGGAAUGAAAGAUCCAGAGAAUCAGGAGAAAGUGAUUCCACUGCAUGUGAUCUUGAACAAGAUCCCUCCCCUCUGAGCCGCUGUCUUCUGUCUAUAAAUGGGUGGAUCGGGCUAGAGCUCAGGUUCCCGACGUGCAGCCCACCCUGGGCCCAGGGAGGAAUGCACAGUGGACCCCAUGCCUCACUCGCUUGGCGUGUCCUUCUUACUUUAGUCCCCUUUCCAUCUGGCUCUCUGACACUUGUCACCCUUCCUGUUUAGCAGGGUACAGAGCUGGCCCCAGGCACAGAGCCGGAGACAGACAGAGGAGGGAGCCUGAAGGUAGUCGGGGUUUUGUUAGAUUUCACUUAAGGUAACCUUCCAUUUAGAGUAAACUGUCUUCUGUAUAAUUUAAAGUGUGUGGUUUUUUAAAAAUAAUAGUGUGUUUAAAUGAGAGUGACGGAUUUGAAGGACACUUAGAUUCCAUAGAGCACAUAGGAACCCACCUUCCUGGCAGCCCCCAUUCCUGGGUCCUGCCACCAGCUCUCAGGGACCACCAUUGGAAGUGGCUCUGGCUUCUGCUGUAGGAGAAGAACAAGCAACUCCUUGGGGACCCCCAGCUGUCCCUCCAGAGUUCACUGUCCCACAACUGCAGGUUAAGUGGAAACUUCCUGAUGGCCAGAUGGUGUAAGACCAGGCACGGGAGUCAGGAUCCGGGAUCCAGGAGGGUCCUCGGCCACAGUUUAUCAUGCAGUCCCCAGCCCCCUGUGUCCUUCCUGCCCAGGCAGGCCUGAGGGGAGCUCCUGUCCUUCUCCAACUCAGGCUCUUUAAGGACCAGUCAGAGAAAGGGACAGACAGGCCAUCUCACUGGACCUCACAGCAUACGUGUGCCCAUCUCGCAGGUGGGAACGCUGGGGUGCGGCCACAAAUGGCCAGUGCAAGGGGCAGGUUAGAUAACCCAUACAGAGGAGAUUAUGUGGCCAUUAGGAAUGUGGUUUUGAGGAAUAGCGACGCGGGAAAAUGUUUAAAAUAAGAUGUGAGUAAACCAGAGCGAGAUGUAAACUCUAUACAGCCUGGUCUGCUUUAUUUUUGAAACAAUACCUUACAAAUGUACUGCAAAGGACAUGUGUUCCCUCGUAAUUAGGAAAAAAUGUUAACUUGAAGAAAAUCAGGGAUUGACCAGACUGUCCUCAGUUGCACAGUCAGCAAGCCGCCCAGCUGACCUUGUGUUCUCCAGGGGAGAGAACGCUGCUUUUCAGGAUGAACCUGGGAUCAAAGGAGAAAAUUUCCUCUUAAAAGAAUUUUUUUUUAAGGACCACAGAUAUCGUCUGCACUCCCAGCUCACUCCACUGGAGUUUUAUGAAGUAGAGAUGACUCAUGAUUUUCUGUGAAACAUCCAGAGGGUGUUUUAAUUUAAACGGCCCCUGAUCACCACCCACGCACUCCCAUUGCCGGGUCGGCCAAGGGUCACCUGGAAGAGGCCGCGGUUCCAUUCACAGGGGAAGGAGCCUCCUGAGGCCAAGGCCAUGGGGAUGGGAGUUGGGGGUGUCCAGGGCAGGGGAGGAAGGUGGCUGGGCUGCCCGGAGAUGGGCGGUGAUGAAGCUGUGCCCCUGGGAAGCACAAGAGGACCAGCUGAAUCCCCUCUUAAAAGCCAUCCCGGAGUUCCUGUUGUGGCGCAGUGGAAAUGAAUCCGACCAGGCACCAUGAGGUUGCGGGUUUGCUCCCUGGCCUCGCUCAGUGGUACAGGUCUAAAUGUGGCUCAGAUCCCAUGUGGUUGUGGCUGUGGUGUAGGCCUGCAGCUGUAGCUCCGAUUUGACCCCUAACCUAGGAAUCUCCAUGUGCCACGAGUGCGGCCCUGGAAAAAAAAAAAGGAAAAAAAAAAAAAAG